rnacentral:rRNA from 1 species
AGGUCAUUGGAAACUGGUAGACUUGAGUGCAGAAGAGGAGAGUGGAACUCCAUGUGUAGCGGUGAAAUGCGUAGAGAUAUGGAAGAACACCAGUGGCGAAGGCGGCUCUCUGGUCUGUAACUGACGCUGAGGUGCGAAAGCGUGGGUAGCAAACAG